GUCGGUAAAACUCGUGCCAGCCACCGCGGUUAUACGAGAGGCCCAAGUUGACGAACCCCGGCGUAAAAUGUGGUUAUUAUAGUAUUGCACUAAAGCCAAACAUCUUCAAAGCUGUUAUACGCUUCUGAGGACAGGAAGCCCUACCGCGAAAGUGGCUUUAAGUUAUAUGUACCACGAAAGCUAGGAAACAAACUGGGAUUAGAUACCCCACUAUG
rnacentral:rRNA from 1 species